rnacentral:lncRNA from 1 species
GCGCAUCAUCCCAUCCCAAUCCUCAUCUGCAGCAAAGUAACGGAUACAUAUUUUCAUAUUUUUCUCCCCAAGCCACAAUAUUUUCUGCACUCUUCAACAAACCCUAAAGUCCCAAAUUCCUCACUAUAAAUAACAACCUGCACACACACAAACAGGGGGCCGGAAUUCACAAAGAAAUAACAAUUUUCACAAAUAAAACCUGCAAUUUUCUAAACGCACAAAAACCCCAGAGGCCGGAAAUUCACCGGUCAAAAUCCUAGCCUCAAUAAUUCAUCAAAACCUGCAUUUUUUCGACCAGCCAAAACACACAAAUUUACUAACAUCAAUAUCCUACAACAAUUUUACACGAACAAUUCACCCACAACCUGCAAAAAUCACCAAAACCCAGCAAACAUUUUUCAAACCAAACAAUCAAUUUUUCAUUCCAAUCAAAAACCAGUAACCAAUUCACAACACAAUCACACAUCAAUCGCACAAACAGCAACCAGAAUCGAGUCCAUGCAACAGCCAUCAUACCGUCACCCAUAUAUCCAACAACAAACCUUUACAAAACCGCACAAAAAACAACAACAACGAAGCUGAUCCAGAACCAGCAGGAACACACGACAGACGGGCAAAAGGACGGGAUUCGUACACAAACAAGUCUAAAGGGCCUGAACCCGUCGCAACAGAUCAACCACAAAGGACCGACAACAACAAAUCGGCUCAAAAGGAACUGGAAUAAAGUGCAGAGAAAGAAAAAGAUAUAAUCUUCAAAUGAUUAUAUUUUGAUUCCCGUGAUCCCUCCAGAGUAUUACCUCAAGGAUCUAGCUCCUCCAGAGUCUUGUCUCAAGAUCUACUUCUAUAAAAAAAAAAUAAGUUUUUAUAGGAACGAAAUACUUAGUAGUAUUUAACUUCAAUAUUCAUUGAUUACAAAUGAGAAACGAGGCUCUUAUUUAUAGUGAAAAGGGCUCACAAAUUGUUCACAUGUUCCUUUCUCGACAGCUAAUAAAGAUAAACACCUAAAGAAAAAG